UAACGACUCUCCAAAAUGUCUGUCUCUGGUGCUCCAUUUUCUCAAGCCGCUGUCCCCCACUCAACGUUGACUCUCUCCGCCAGCCUUGGUCGCACUACUCAGUUUGUUGUUGGUCGCCUUCUCCGCUUCUGGGACUCCCGUAACAUAAAAAAAAUAUUGUGAAUUUAUGGGGAUCAUGCUCCUCUUCCUAGAUGAAAAGAUUCCGUGAUCUGCAGAUUCAUCCCGGCUGGUCUUGCCAAUCACUACCGUCCCUCUUUGCUUGCUGGUUCGAUUGCGAAAGUCGAUCGGUUUGAAGAUUCACCCAAUCAUAGGAUUGGCCAGGUAAAAUCAUCUCUUAAGUUUACUUGGUAUGUUUAAUGAUUAGAGAAAUGAAACUUUAUUGUAGUAAAGAAACAUCUCUGAAACAUGUUUAUCGAGGCAAUGCGAUGUUAGGUCGAUCCAAAGUUGUAUACAGGCCUAAUUCAAUCAUAUGAUGCAAAAGAACUUUGCUAUGUUCUGGAAACAGAGAAAUGAAUGAAGGGUCAGAAGCUUUGAUGCAGAGGUCAAAGCAUUGAGAGAAAGAAAGAAAACGGGAGGCUGACAUGGAAACAGAAAAUCAGUGAAGAAAGAUCUUGAUACAAAACUGCACACAGAACAAUGUAAUAUGUAGAGAUAGUGGACAUGAUUCUUUUUUUUCAUUGUGCAAAGAUGUAGAAAACCUUGAUCGCUGUGAUGGACUCGGUUAUGAAUCUAAUGAAAGAAGUUGAACUUGAAGAGAAGGAUUUGGAGAUGUCAGUGUUAGAAACUGUUAGGGGAGGUUUGGAUACUCUUGAAAAAGGUUGACGAGUUCAAGAAGAUGCUGAAACAUGCCAAAGAAGCAAAUGACAUGCAUGCUGGAGAAGUAUAUGGAGAUAAGUCAAUUUUGGCAACUGAAGCAAAAGAGCUUGAAAACCGAUUGCUCAACUUAUCAGAAGAACGAAACAAAUCGCUUCAUGUCCUU